CAGCAGCCACGGUAAUACGGAGGGUGCAAGCGUUAUCCGGAUUUAUUGGGUUUAAAGGGUCCGUAGGCGGAUCUGUAAGUCAGUGGUGAAAUCUCACAGCUUAACUGUGAAACUGCCAUUGAUACUGCAGGUCUUGAGUAAAUUUGAAGUGGCUGGAAUAAGUAGUGUAGCGGUGAAAUGCAUAGAUAUUACUUAGAACACCAAUUGCGAAGGCAGGUCACUAAGAUUUAACUGACGCUGAUGGACGAAAGCGUGGGGAGCGAACAGGAUUAGAUACCCCCGUAGUCCCUGUCUCUUAUAC
rnacentral:rRNA from 1 species